GUGAGGAAUAUUGGACAAUGGGCGCAAGCCUGAUCCAGCCAUGCCGCGUGCAGGAAGACGCAUCUAUGGUGUGUAAACUGCUUUUGUACGGGAAGAAACACUCCCUCGUGAGGGAGCUUGACGGUACCGUAAGAAUAAGGAUCGGCUAACUCCGUGCCAGCAGCCGCGGUAAUACGGAGGAUCCAAGCGUUAUCCGGAAUCAUUGGGUUUAAAGGGUCCGUAGGCGGUUUAAUAAGUCAGUGGUGAAAGCCCAUCGCUCAACGAUGGAACGGCCAUUGAUACUGUUAGACUUGAAUUACAAGGAAGUAACUAGAAUAUGUAGUGUAGCGGUGAAAUGCUUAGAUAUUACAUGGAAUACCAAUUGUGAAGGCAGGUUACUACUUGUGGAUUGACGCUGAUGGACGAAAGCGUGGGGAGCGAACAGGAUUAGAUACCCCGGUAGUCC
rnacentral:rRNA from 1 species